UUACAAUAUCCACUAUGGUUAUUUAGAGGAUAAAUUUAUCAAGAGGUGGUAAAAGUGGGCCUAAAUUGUUUAAAUAGUUGAUUGUAAAGAUUUGUGUACAGAAGGAAUAAAUUUAAAUGCAACUUUACGAGUUUUCUUAACAAUAAAAAUUAUGUUUGACAUAGAUAAAUUAUAUAUAUAUAUCACAAGGAAAAAGAUUGCGAAGGCAAAAUGAUGCUAGAGCAAGUAAAUUUUAGCAAUUAAGUCGAAAAUGCCGAAAUGGACGUCUAUGACAGAAGAAAAAACUUGUAGAAUGGCAGAAUAUAGAAAGCUAAGCAAAAAGAUGUCUAAGCCAGAAUGAUGCUGUUGACACAAAAAUUUUCUUUUGAAAAAAUAUAGAUACGAAAUAUAAAGUAGAGUUAAGCACCAAGUUAUAUGAUGCAAGAUGAUGGAGUACUUACUUGAUAUUACUUGCAGAUUACACCAAAAAACUAGAUACUACUUAAAGAUUAGAUACUGCAUGCAGACAACUGGAUGUUGCUAAUGAAAAAAUUCACACUGCUAAUAGAAGAUUAACUAUUACUUGCAGAAAGCUGGAAAUAAAGAUACUUGUUGGAGAUACCAAGUACUAGAUGAAAAAAACUAGAUAUUGCAUAAAAAAGUCUAGAUACUGUUAAACACUGUUAUUACAACAUACAUAUUGUUGAUGAAGGACUAAGAUACUACUAAUAAAUGAUUGAUUUGAUGAGGUCUAAUAGAUGUCUAUGGCAGAAUAAUGUUGGAAGCCUUUUUAUUUCUUAUAUUACGUCUUUUCCAAAAUAGUUAACAUUGGUACUAAAAUCUGAUAUUGCUGGCAAAAGACUACAUAUUGCUGAGAAAAGCCACAAAAUUGUGGAUAAAAAUUCCUGGACGAAAAAUGCAAAAUGGAAGAGGUCACAAGAAAAAAGAUAAUGUUGGAAACAAGAAAAUUUUAGCUACUAAAAUGGAAGAAUACAAGAAUAAAAUAAGCUGGGUGAGCAGAACAACCUUUUAAAGAAAAAGAGAGAGGGUAUAAAAAAAAUCAUUCAAAGAUAUAUAGGAAAGUAUGCUGGCAGAAGGAUGCUGAAGAACGGAUAGGGACUGGAGAGAAAGAAGAGGAAAAAAUAACUGCACCAGAUUGAGAAAAGAACAUAAUCGUGCCAAUGCGAUUAAGAGCCCAGAUAGAGGAUAAACUUGAUGAGCAAACGUCGUUCCAGCAUAACAAGAUCAAAAUAUAGAUGUGUACCGAGAUAACAUAUAUAGAAUGUAUCAAGCAGACUGAUCAAAAGUAUUUACAGAAAAGUAACAGGAAUGUUUAACUCUGAUUUGGAGUUGUUAAAGAAAUACAAAUAGUAGAUUAGUAAAGAUGGCAAGAUAGAUUAAGAGAUGCGCAAUGGGUAUCACCAGAUUAAUAAUACUCUGGUAGAUAAGAAAGAUGAAAAUUAAAGCGAAAUUAAAUCUAUACAUGUUAGACAGACGCAAAUUAACAAAGUGAUGAAGUAUCUGCAAAAAUUUGUAGGAAAACCCAGAAGAAAUAGCAACUUAAGAGCUUUAGCAGAAGAGAUCUGGUUGGAAUAGUACAAAACAUCUACAAAAGAUGGAGACCCAACACCGUGAGAAGUUUUAGAAAAAUAUGGUUUAGGAUCUUCGAAACGCAAAAAAGAAGACGAAGAUGAGUAAAUAACACUUCGAAGUAAAGUUAACUAUCAAAACAUUAUCAAAUAUCAUAGAUAAUAAAACUAAAACAUAAAACAAUACUAUCUUUUUAUUACUAUGAUUGUUUAUCACGACUCAACAAAAUAAUUUAUCUCCCUUUGUAAAGCAAAACGGAUGAUGAUCAUGAUGAUGAAGCAAAACAAUUUAUAAAUGACAUUGAAACGACCUUGAGUGUAUUUGAUUUAAUUCGGCACGCGGCGUAUAGAUGGCAGAGCAAUUUUGUGUAAUUUAAUUAUUAAUAAAAAUAAAUAUAUUAAUUUAA
rnacentral:lncRNA from 1 species